GCCAGACUCCUACGGGAGGCAGCAGUGGGGAAUAUUGCACAAUGGGGGAAACCCUGAUGCAGCGACGCCGCGUGAGUGAAGAAGUAUUUCGGUAUGUAAAGCUCUAUCAGCAGGGAAGAAAAAAGACGGUACCUGACUAAGAAGCCCCGGCUAACUACGUGCCAGCAGCCGCGGUAAUACGUAGGGGGCAAGCGUUAUCCGGAUUUACUGGGUGUAAAGGGAGCGUAGACGGCAAUACAAGUCGGAAGUGAAAUACCCGGGCUUAACCUGGGAACUGCUUUGGAAACUGUAUGGCUGGAGUGCUGGAGAGGUAAGCGGAAUUCCUAGUGUAGCGGUGAAAUGCGUAGAUAUUAGGAGGAACACCAGUGGCGAAGGCGGCUUACUGGACAGUAACUGACGUUGAGGCUCGAAAGCGUGGGGAGCAAACAGGAUUAGAUACCCUUGUAU
rnacentral:rRNA from 1 species